rnacentral:rRNA from 1 species
AGGGAAUCUUCGGCAAUGGACGGAAGUCUGACCGAGCAACGCCGCGUGAGUGAAGAAGGUUUUCGGAUCGUAAAGCUCUGUUGUAAGAGAAGAACGAGUGUGAGAGUGGAAAGUUCACACUGUGACGGUAUCUUACCAGAAAGGGACGGCUAACUACGUGCCAGCAGCCGCGGUAAUACGUAGGUCCCGAGCGUUGUCCGGAUUUAUUGGGCGUAAAGCGAGCGCAGGCGGUUAGAUAAGUUUGAAGUUAAAGGCUGUGGCUUAACCAUAGUACGCUUUGGAAACUGUUUAACUUGAGUGCAAGAGGGGAGAGUGGAAUUCCAUGUGUAGCGGUGAAAUGCGUAGAUAUAUGGAGGAACACCGGUGGCGAAAGCGGCUCUCUGGCUUGUAACUGACGCUGAGGCUCGAAAGCGUGGGGAGCAAACAGGAUUAGAUACCCUGGUAGUCCACGCCGUAAACGAUGAGUGCUAGGUGUUAGACCCUUUCCGGGGUUUAGUGCCGUAGCUAACGCAUUAAGCACUCCGCCUGGGGAGUACGACCGCAAGGUUG